ensembl:lncRNA
UUCUGAUUCAUUCUGGUAUUGUUUUUUCUAUUCGUGCAAUUUUGCAUUCUAUUCAAAAGCUUGAAUUUUCAAGUGCAACAGAAUGGCACAUUCACACAUAAAUUACUUUUAUUAAAAAUGCAUCUAUGAAUGAAGCUACAUGAAGAUAAAACCUGAUUGCAUAGCAUUUUUAUCCUCAAUUUGGGAAAAUUUUGCUGAGAAGCAUCUGCAAACUUAACAUUAGCAUUAUGAUCUUGUGCCCUUUUUACAUCAUCUUCCAAGCAUCAGGCAACAGAAUACCAAAACAAGGUAUCUUAAAAGCAUCUCAAAAUACUAUCUAGGUAGGCAGCUCACUAUGGAGCACAGGCUAACAUGACAGCUUCAUAAAUGACUAAGCUUGACUGAAAUGCUUCUUUGUGCCUUUUGUCACCUAAACCCCCAGAAUGCAUUGGGGCAAGGGAGUGAGGCGAUAAGUGUGAGGCAAAGAUGCAUUUGCUCCGCAGAAGUGGCCACGGUGCAGAUGUUGCAGGUUAUUUCCGUGAAGUUUCAUCAUGAUGCUGGGACACUGAACUCUGAAUUGUUCAUGCCGUUGACUUCAAACCGUUAUUUGGCUAUCCUUGCAUCCUCAAACAGCCCAGCAAGAGCUUGUGCCUCUGUCCUAAAGACUUUAAGGCUUCCAGCUGUCAUUACUUUCUCUAAAACCAACCAAUGGACCAUUGAGAGCCAAGCCAGCACUAACCGGUAUUUUUGGACAGUGGAAGCUCUGAGUUGCCACCGAACGAGGGUAAACCUUUCCAAAAACACAGAGGAUAUUCUUAUUUUGUAUUGAGUCCUAAAUCUAUUGUUUGAUCUAAUUAUUCUGCCUCUAAGGCCCUAUUAUCCAGGCACUACUGAUGAAACCGAAGCGAAAAAAGGAGGCAGAGUGUGUCUCCUGGUUGUUUGAGACAUGCUAGGACAUCCAUAGCACAGAAAGAGAGAGAGAGAGAUAAAGAGCAAGAUAUAGAAAGAGAGUGAAUAAAAGAGUACUGAGUGAUUCA